rnacentral:lncRNA from 1 species
GCCCAAGCUGGAGUGCAAUGGCACAAUCUCAGCUCACUGCAACCUCUGCCUCCCGGGUUCAAGCUAUUCUCCUGCCUCAGUCUCCCGAGUAGCUGGGAUUACAGGUGCGUGCCACGAGAUGUUGUCUGUUAGAAUGCCCAGCACGGGGACUGUCCACAUGGAAAGAGGCACAGGAAAAAAAGUGAAAACAUUAUAAAAUAACUUCUUAAAAUUAAAUAAUGUACACGUCAAAAAUAUCAGAGCCCACUUGACCUGGUAUAUACAGUUUAAUAACCUGUUGCCCAGGCUGGAGUGCAAUGGCACAAUCUUGACUCACUGCAACCUCCACCUCCCAGGUUCAAGUGAUUCUCCUGCCUCAGCCUCCCAAGUAGCUGGGACUACAGGCACAUGCCACCAUACAGCUGGGAAGAGAGCCAGCGACAAAGCCAGAGGGAGCUAGCUCCCACACCUCCCAGCCCCAGCUGAGUUCGCUUCUUGAGGUUCAGUCACUAAAGAUGCAGGUUCCCAGCUGUCCAGUGAAGUCAAGCGAAUGGGGAAGGAUUUUGCCUGACCUCAUUUUAGCCACUUUUAAGGGUAGAAUUUUCUGGCUGUUUUCAUUCAUGUACUGAUAGACACUUGGGUUGCUUCCAUGUUUUAGCUGUUGUGGAAAAUGCUGCUUUGAACAUCACAGCACCUCUCCAGCAGCGGCAGCACUCGACCUUUCCCCAGCGGUGCACGGGGUUCCAACUUCUCCGCAUCCUCACCUACGUGUGUUUUGUUUUUUGGUAGUAGUAGCCAUUCUAAUGCGUGUGAUAUGGGAUCUCAUUGUGGUUUUGAUUUGCAUUUCGGGGAGAACUCACGUUUUUCCAGAGCCCCAUUGUGUCGACCUCACCUAUGCCUCUCCCCACCCCCUCUGGGUUCGUUUUGUCUUCCAGAUUGCUGGACUCGCUGAAGAGAGACUACGCAAUCCCAUCUGUACUAAAAAUACAAAAAAUUAGCUGGGCGUAGUGGCCCGGCCACGUGGAGCCCGCUUUCCUCCUCGCACCCACUCCACUCCCAUAACCCGGUGGCUGGGUAGGCUAAGACCUGGCCUUUCUAUAAUGGCCUUUCUUUUGUUUCACUUCAUUUCACUCCAUUUCCCUACUUUCCCUUGUUUUGGGCACUGUGGUGUGUCUUCGAAUCCUCACCAGGAUGCUGUGAGCUGUGAACUAUUAUAACAUUAAGGUUGUUUCAUGAUUUUUUGAAGGUUUGUUUCACACCAUUUCCCCCCUUAAAUCAUUUAACUGAAUGGUAUGUAACAGGUGUAGUUUCUAAUGAGUUCUUUUCUUCCCCUGUGGCUUUAGGAAAUAAAAUUACAACAUAGCUACCUGGGGAUACUUUUUUCUUUCUGUUUUUUGUUUGUUUUUAAUUUUAGCUUUUGGAUUCCCAGCAUCUAUUGAUCCCGUCUUUUCACCCCUGUGUACCCAAUGUUUAGUUCCCACUUAUAAGUUAGAACAUGGGGAAUUUGGUUUUGUUUCUGUGUUGAUUUUCCUUUUGGUAGAUACCCAGUAAUGGGAUUGCUGGGUUGAAGGGUAAUUCUAUUUUUAGCAAACUAGAAAUAUUUAAUGACCACACCUGGCCCAGAUUUUCUUUAAUAUUUGUCUAAUAUCUUUCCAUCUCCCUAUAUUCAAGCUUCAUGUAAUUUUAUUUUCUGGUAAGAUUUAUUUUAUUAUUUUUAUAGAUGAGGUCUCACUCUGUUGCCCCAGCUGGGUGCAGUGGCAUGAUCAUACCUCACUAGGCUCAAGUGAUCCUCCUGCCUCAGCAUCCCUAGUAACUAGGACUACAGGCACAUGCUACCACGCCUGGCUAAUUAUUUUAAUUUUUGGUAGAGACAGGAUCUCAUUAUACUGUACCUUUUCCAUGUUUAGAUACAGAGAUACCUAUUAUUGUGUUACAGUUGCCUACAGUAUUCAGUACAGUAACAUCUCUACAGGUUUAUAGCCAAGGGCAAUAGGCUCUACCAUAAAGCCUGGUAAUCCCAGCACUCUGGGAGGCUGAGGUGGCGGAUCGAGACCACCCUGGCUAACACAGUGAAGCCCUGUCUCUACUAAAAAUACAAAUAUUUAGCCGGGUCUGGUGGCGGGCGCCUGUAGUCCCAGCUACCCGGGAGGCUGAGGCAGGAGGACUGUGUCACUGCACUCCAGCCUGGAUGACAGAGCAAGACUCUUUUUAAAAAUAGCCAGGCGUGAUGGCUCUCAUGAGAUCACACCACUGCACUCCAGCCUUGGGUGACGGAAUGAGACCUGUCUCAAAAAACAAAUAAAUAAAUAAAAAUAAUUUAAAAAUCAUUAAUUGCCAGUUACAAUGAAAAUUUAAAACUUUUAAAAAAUUUAGUCUGAUGG